UUCUGCAUUUUUGCUUCCAUCAGAAGAAAGAAGAAGCAAAUCCUUUAAGCAGACACCAAAAAGGAUUAUUUUAAUUCUCAUAUAAGAAGAAAAAGGCUUCCCCAAUUUUUGGAUGAUAAGAUGCUUAAAACAAGUGAUGAGAUGUUAGCCAUAUAAGCAACGCAUUAGGACUAUAAAAUGUGAUUCAGCAUGCUGUGAACUCUCAACACUUGCACUCAGCAAAGACAUCAGGCCUGUUGUUCUUAAGACUAAAUUAUUAUGUUGUAAGUUUUAUAAUAAAAUCAUACGAAGAUUACA